AGUGAACGCUGGCGGUAGGCCUAACACAUGCAAGUCGAACGGCAGCACAGUAAGAGCUUGCUCUUACGGGUGGCGAGUGGCGGACGGGUGAGGAAUACAUCGGAAUCUACUUUUUCGUGGGGGAUAACGUAGGGAAACUUACGCUAAUACAGCAUACGACCUACGGGUGAAAGCAGUGGAUCUUCGGACCUUGCGCGAUUGAAUGAGCCGAUGUCGGAUUAGCUAGUUGGCGGGGUAAAGGCCCACCAAGGCGACGAUCCGUAGCUGGUCUGAGAGGAUGAUCAGCCACACUGGAACUGAGACACGGUCCAGACUCCUACGGGAGUCAGCAGUGGGGAAUAUUGGACAAUGGGCGCAAGCCUGAUCCAGCCAUACCGCGUGGGUGAAGAAGGCCUUCGGGUUGUAAAGCCCUUUUGUUGGGAAAGAAAAGCAGCAGGUUAAUACCCCGCUGUUCUGACGGUACCCAAAGAAUAAGCACGGGCUAACUUCGUG
rnacentral:rRNA from 1 species